rnacentral:rRNA from 1 species
CCUACGGGAGGCUGCAGUGGGGAAUAUUGGGCAAUGGGCGCAAGCCUGACCCAGCAACGCCGCGUGAAGGAAGAAUGCCCUCGGGUUGUAAACUUCUUUUAUUCGGGACGAAACAAAUGACGGUACCGAAUGAAUAAGCCACGGCUAACUACGUGCCAGAAGCCGCGGUAAUACGUAGGUGGCAAGCGUUAUACGGAUUUACUGGGUGUAAAGGGCGUGUAGGCGGGAGAGCAAGUCAGACGUGAAAUUCCAGGGCUCAACCGUGGAACUGGGUUUGAAGCUGUUCUUCUUGAGUGAUGGGGAGGCAGGCGGAAUUCGGUGUGUAGCGGUGAAAUGCGUAGAUAGACGGAGGAACACCAGUGGCGAAGGCGGCCUGCUGGACAGUAACUGACGCUGAGGCGCGAAAGCGUGGGGAGCAAACAGGAUUAGAUACCCGAGUAGUC